ensembl:snRNA U1 U1 spliceosomal RNA
AUCCUUGCACCCCAGGAAUAUACUGUUUUUCACUGCUCUAGACCUUUUACACUGUGGAUGUGUUGACCUCUGUGAUUUCCCCAAAUGUGGGAAACUCAACUGCAGAAUUUAUGGUAGUGGGGCACUGCGUUCACACUUUUCCCUC